ensembl:lncRNA
CCCCUCAGCAUGCAUGCACCUGCAGGUACUCAUGCAUUCAACGUGCCUCCAAGCCCUGGAAAGGGGAAAAGGUGUGGAAAGAGAGAGGUGCGUGGUCAGGGAGCAGCCCCAUGUGCGGGUGAAACAUCUCUGAAAAACUCCGUCAAAAGGACCAAAUGAGCAUCUCACGUGGAGAUGGAAGAGGGAUGUGGUCCAGACGCUGUGGGCAGCGUCCCUAGUCACGGUGUCCAUAGGCUGCGACCCAGAAGCACAAUUUUAUGGGCUCUUCACUGAUGUAUCCCCAGGCCCCAGAAUGCUGCCUAGGUUACAAAUAAAGUUGAUUAAAAGACAGUCGCACAAUAUGGCACCCACCUUGUGAAGUACGACAUUUCCAACCACUGUCAGAAACGUGGAAGUUUAAAGGAAAGCUCUAUCAAGUCACGAAGCUCUCCUGGAGGAGGAAAUGGCAACCCGCUCCAAUAUUCUUGCGUGGGAAAUCCCAUGGACAGAGGAGCUUGGCAUACUACAGUCCAUGGGUUCACAAAAGAGAUGGACACGACUUAGCAACUAAACAACAACAACCAUCCUCCCUGGAGAUAAGCCCCAAGCACCCAAAAGGCUACAAAACUCAGCCGUCUCCAUGCCCUGGACCUGGCUCAGUUCUCGGGAUCUGGUUUCAAGAUUCAUCUACCAUCUUCCCAAGUAUUGAUCAAGGACAGCGUUCUUCUACCACAGUUGGGCUCCGUAUUGAUUGUCGGGGGAUCUGCUCUAUUCGACCUCUGCAGAACAGGAUACCUCUGGCUAACAACACUGUGCUCAGUGCAAUGAUGCUGAUUUCCAGGAUUCAUAAACCAACUUCAAAAUCAACUCCAUAAUUGGGACUGCAAAAAUGUUCUAC